AGCCGCCAUUCCCAGGCCGUAAACCUUUUAAGACCAGUCUCCAAGAAAAUCUGGAGCACAGAAGCGCUCCCCGAUGCCUUCUUGUGAAGCGACAGCACAGACCAAGAUUCCUCCUGGAAAAUGGCAAGAAGGGAGAUCUGCACAGGAAAAAGUAAGAGCAGAAAAGGGAAAAAGGCAGCAGCUAAAGUGGAGCAGAAGAGGAAGGAACAAGAACAACAGAGUGGAAAAAGAGAGCAGCAGGAACAAAUGGAAAAAGUGAAGGCAGAUCUGGAAAAGGAACAACAGAGGAGCAUGGAGGAGAUGCGUUUAUAGAAACUAAAAGAAGAGUGGAGGUGGCAGCAAAGAAGUCACAAUUAGAGAAAGCAGCACAAGAACUCAUUUGGCAGCAGCAGGAGGAGGAGGAUUAUCACAGAAAGCUUCUGCAGUUCCAGAAUAGACACCUACAAGAACAAGAAGAGCAGGUGGUCUAUAGAAAGGCUAAUGAUUAUUCUAGCUGCAGGUAAUUGAUCUGAAUGGAUGAUUUCUGGUGAAGACAUGGACUUAGCCUGUGUGUCUGUCGUGGAAUUCCUGUGACACUAAGUCCCAAACUUACAGUACCUCAACUGCUCCUCCUCUACUAAAUAGAUAUGGUAACAAUAGUCCUCUCUUCCACAGUCCCUGCAGCCUGAAGAAGAGAAAUUCCACAGCCUAGCUAUGAUGCCACUGUGUAAGACACUAGCAAUAACAACAUUGUGCUACAUCUAUUCAUUUAUUGGUGUUUUCAUUGUGUAUCUUCUCUGAAAGCCUGAGUCUCAGUAGCUACAGUUUAAAAAAAUAAAACGAAAAAACAACAAACAGUUGCAGAGGAAGGUUUGAAAACCUAAAUGCCAAGCAGAGUAAAAAAAAAAAAAAUCCAAUUAGAAUUUAAGACAGACUCACAUGUUUGAGACAAUAUUAAAUACUUCCAAUGUCAGUAUUAUAACGGUAUUUUCUUUCUAUUUGUAAUUGAUGAAAAAAACAUUUCCUAAAUAGGAAGUAUGUGAGCAACUAAUAGUUAUUGGUGAUCUGUUUCUAAGAGGCAGAAAAAUGCAGACAGAAAGAAGGAGCAAUGUGGUUAGAGGAGUAACAUCAUCAACUAGUAGAGAUGGCAGAAGAAUGCCCGGAGGAUGAAAGAAGAAAUUGGGAGAAGACAAGAUAUGAGGCUGAGGAGCAGAUGAAGAAAGAGGAAGAUGCUAGACCAGCUCUAGAGGAAGCCAAAACACAAAGCACAGCUUUUAAUCAGGUACGUAGCUGUUAAUCAGAGGGAAGUUAUUUUUUUCCUCAGUAAUAACACAUCUUUACACCUACUACCAGACUAUACAAAAAUAUUUCUGUAGUCAGUUCUAUCAGUUAACAUUGAAAAGCAGCAUCAGUACCCCACGAGUUGGUUAAGCUGCCUUCAAUUAAAACUCCAAGACACAAUGCAGUUCUUUUGCUGUUUAACAAGUUUUCCGAUGUUUCCCCAAGUUUCAUCAGCAAUGCACAUACAUCUUAUCCAUAUUCUUUAACUGUUUUAGAGUUUUUAACAUCCAUUUACGCCACAGAAAGAAGCCCAAGUAGAUUUCCCCGCACAUCUGAAACUAUGAUUACCUUUAUGCGGUCCAUCGGAGCAGACUCCAGGAUAGCGUGCUUCCAGAACUCAUUUCUACCAGCACCUCAGAACACAGGAACCGAGAGUCCGAAUACCACAUAUUAUAAUACUACAAAUAGCAUAACAGGCCUUCUUAAGGGAAGCCUAGAUCAAUUUGUCAGGCACAAAGCAGUACCAGGGAUAAGAGGAUACAUUGGAACUACAUCUAUCUCUUGCUCACUCUAUUCAUACCACUGUAAGAGAAGAUAUACUGGCCCACAAUAAGGUAUUAGCAUAAGCCAGCAUUUUCUUUCCCAGCCCAUUCCCCCACACACACUGGGGGAAGUCCAGUCUUCCGUCCAGGCUCAGUGCCUCAGAAGGCACUGUAUGCACUGUGGCAAAGUCAAAGAAACUGCCAGUGAACCAGCAACGAGCUAACUGAGCAGGUAGCUUUCAAGUCAAAGCACCAGCUCUCGAACCCAAGGAGGAAUUCUGUUCUUUAUCUGUAAUCCACUUUAUUAACGCUGUUUGCAGGCAAAGAGCAGAUCUGGAACAACAUCUGCGGUUCCAACGAGCACUACUAAUAGAAGUUCCUAGACUAGAACACAUUCAAAAUGUUCCUUGUCCAUGGGUGUUUUCUUAUUUUCAGCUGCUUGAAAAACUAGGCCUGAAAAUGAUACAAAAGAAUAAAUGCUUGGUGCCAGGAGUGGGUCAUUGCAGUGAGCUCUUUCAGUUCCAGUCUAAUUCAAGGUUCCAACCUGAUUCAAAAAAGAUGAACAACAUUCCUUUUCGUGAUAGAUGCUACUCUCGUUCACAAAUUAUUUUCCCAGACUGCAAUAGUAGUCUGUGUAUACAUCCCAUUGAUAGCAAGUAAAAGCAUUCAUGUUUUAUCAGCCAGUAGAAAUGAAUCCAGACAGACCUCUUGAGAUGCCAGAACACAUUUAGUUUAUCCUUUGCUGCUUCAUCCCAGAUUCUUUGGUCCAUUUUGUGUUAAGAGAGAAAACAACAGAACCGUCAGUUUACAAAAGGUAUGAAAACCUCAGUGCUGACUCUUGGAGGAAUCCUCCAAACCAAUAAAUUGCAAUACAUGUGCUACUAUUUAAGAAAAGGCUUGAUUUCAGUAUCAACAAUAAGACAGCAACAGAGAAACUAUAGCAAGAUAAGAACUUUUCUUCCUUGUAAAUUGGGUUUCUUAUUUUCUGCUUCUCUAACACUAUCUAACAUAAGAAAGUAUAACAUUUGUAGAUUCAAUUUGUAUCGCAGUUCCUGUAGAGUCUCCUGUGGAUAAGAGUAAUCAAUUUUUGCAAUCUAAAUUGAAGCUGAACUUCCCUAAAUUAAAUAUGCAUUAAGUACUGGUUCCAAAAGCAAAACAAAAUCAGUUUACACUACUUCCAACUUGCACAAUUCCUACAGUUCUCUGUAUGUCAUCUCAGAAACUGGUCUUCUCAUUUUAGAAAAUUUACCUGAACAGCAGUAAUUCAAAAGUGCAUACAGAAGAUGUGCUGAUCAGCAGAUAUUUUAGUAUUGUAGCCUUAAAAAUAAUUUCCAUUUAAAGUAGGAAAAGUUAAAAACUAGUAUACAGUCGUAGCGCUCCUAAAACAAUACAUGGUUAGUCAAAAUUUGUGGCAGACUUCAAUUAACUGAAAUUGAAAUCCUACCAACAUUUACACAUCUAACUUUUAAAAAAAAAUCUCAUUUCGUCAAAACGAUGGUCAUGUAGAUAUAUUUAUACUUAAGAGAAUAUACAAAUCCUUUAAACGUACCAGCUUUAAGAAAAUCUCUUGAGGCUGACGAUUUUGUAAAGCACUUAUCAAUACAGUUUUAUACACCACCAUCAUUAAUAUUAAAUAUAUUAAUUUCACAAUUAGAAAUAAAGCAAAUAUUAGCUUCUACCU